GCGUUUGUAGUCCAACGGUUAGGAUGGUUGCCUUCCAAGCAAUAGACCCGGGUUUGACUCCCGGCAGCA
rnacentral:tRNA from 1 species